GCGGAGGAAAAGAAACCAACAGGGAUUGCCCCAGUAACUGCGAGUGAAGCGGCAACGGCUCAAAUUUGAAAUCUGGCCACCCCUGCACGGGGAGGUCCGAGUUGUAAUUUGCAGAGGAUGCUUUGGGCGAAGGCCGCCAACCGAGUCCCCUGGAACGGGGCGCCACAGAGGGUGAGAGCCCCGUAGCGGUUUUGGCGGCCGGGCCCGUGUGAAGCUCCCUCGACGAGUCGAGUAGUUUGGGAAUGCUGCUCUAAACGGGAGGUAAACUUCUUCCAAAGCUAAAUACCCGCCAGAGACCGAUAGCGCACAAGUAGAGUGAUCGAAAGAUGAAAAGCACCUUGAAAAGGGGGUCAAACAGCACGUGAAAUUGUUGAAAGGGAAGCGCCCGUGACCAGACUCGGCCGCGGGGGGAUCAUCCGCCGUUCUCGGCGGUGCGCUCCCCCCCGACCGGGCCAGCGUCGGCUUCCUCCAGGGGACAAAGCCGCUAGGAACGUAGCUCUCUUAGGGGAGCGUUAUAGCCUGGUGGGUAAUACCCCGGGGGGGGCCGAGGACCGCGCUCAGGCAAGGAUGCUGGCAUAAUGGUCACCGGCGACCCGUCUUGAAACACGGACCAAGGAGUCAAGCAUUGGGGCGAGUGUCAGGGUGUUAAGCCCUAACGCGCAGUGAAGGCGAACGCCGGUGAGAGCAGUAAUGCGCAUCACCGACCGAUCCGGAAGCUUGCGGAAGGAUUUGAGUGGGAGCCUCAACGCUUGGACCCGAAAGAUGGUGAACUAUGCCUGGAUAGGGUGAAGCCAGAGGAAACUCUGGUGGAGGCUCGCAGCGGUUCUGACGUGCAAAUCGAUCGUCAAAUCUGGGCAUAGGGGCGAAAGACUAAUCGAACCAUCUAGUAGCUGGUUACCGCCGAAGUUUCCCUCAGGAUAGCAGUGCUGGCGCUUCAGUUUUAUGAGGUAAAGCGAAUGAUUAGGGACUCGGGGGCGCUGUCGCGCCUUCAUCCAUUCUCAAACUUUAAAUAUGUAAGAAGCCC
rnacentral:rRNA from 1 species